GGGGACGAGUGGCUUCGACAGGGGAAAUGGGCGACCCAGGAUUGCAGGCCGAGGUGCCAUCACCCUCGUAAAACAGGCGGCAAAAAAAUAACUGGCGACAGAAUGCCUGUAGCGGCCUAACUUAGCUUUAGGCCACGUUCAACCUUGCCUCUCCCCGACAGGGAAGGAUUGGGCGACGAAAAGUUGGGGUGCGGUGAUUCCGAUGGCGAUAGGGGUUGCCUAAGUUUAGUCGUCUGGCCUGGCCGAAUUCCGCCAGUUGAGGGCAGCCAGGCGAGAUAAAAAGCUGGCUAAGCUUGUAGGACAUCCUGGACGGAUUUCCUUUGGACGGGGAGUUCAACUCUCCCCCGUCUCCACCA
rnacentral:tmRNA from 1 species